UACGUAGGGUGCAAGCGUUAAUCGGAAUUACUGGGCGUAAAGCGUGCGCAGGCGGUUAUGUAAGACAGAUGUGAAAUGCCCGGGCUUAACCUGGGAACUGCAUUUGUGACUGCAUGGCUAGAAUCUGGCAGAGGGGGGUAGAAUUCCACGUGUAGCAGUGAAAUGCGUAGAUAUGUGGAGGAACACCGAUGGCGAAGGCAGCCCCCUGGGUCAAGAUUGACGCUCAUGCACGAAAGCGUUGGGGAGCAAACAGG
rnacentral:rRNA from 1 species